GACCCGUUGGUGAAGGGGCUUAACACGCCGCCCUCUCAAGGCGGUAUUCAUGGGUUCGAAACCCAUACGGGUUACCA
rnacentral:tRNA from 1 species